rnacentral:rRNA from 1 species
ACGUAGGGUGCGAGCGUUAAUCGGAAUUACUGGGCGUAAAGCGAGCGCAGACGGUUAUAUAAGUCAGAUGUGAAAUCCCCGAGCUUAACUUGGGAAGGGCAUUUGAAACUGUGUGACUAGAGUGUGUCAGAGGGAGGUAGAACUCCACGUGUAGCAGUGAAAUGCGUAGAGAUGUGGAAGAAUACCGAUGGCGAAGGCAGCCUCCUGGGAUAACACUGACGUUCAUGCUCGAAAGCGUGGGUAGCAAACAGG